rnacentral:rRNA from 1 species
UACGUAGGGUGCAAACGUUGCUCGGAAUUAUUGGGCGUAAAGCGCACGUAGGCGGCUUAGCAAGUCGGAUGUGAAAUCCCUCGGCUCAACCAAGGAAGUGCAUCCGAAACUGCUGAGCUUGAGUACGAAAGAGGAUCGCGGAAUUCCCGGUGUAGAGGUGAAAUUCGUAGAUAUCGGGAGGAACACCAGUGGCGAAGGCGGCGAUCUGGGUCGAUACUGACGCUGAGGUGCGAAAGCGUGGGGAGCAAACAGG